AUUGAACGCUGGCGGCAGGCCUAACACAUGCAAGUCGAACGAGAGGCGGACGGGUGAGUAAUGUCUGGGAAACUGCCUGAUGGAGGGGGAUAACUACUGGAAACGGUAGCUAAUACCGCAUACCAUCAGAUGUGCCCAGAUGGGAUUAGCUUGUUGGUGGGGUAACGGCUCACCAAGGCGGCGAUCCCUAGCUGGUCUGAGAGGGUGACCGUCAACACUGGAACUGGAAAACGGUCCAGACUCCUACGGGGGGCAGAAGUGGGGAAUAUUGCACAAUGGGGGCAAGCCUGAUGCAGCCAUGCCGCGUGGAUGAAGAGGGCCUUCGGGUGGUAAAGUACUUUCAGCGGGGAGGCGUUACCCGCAGAAGAAGGACCGGCUAACUCCGUGCCAGCAGCCGCGGUAAUAC
rnacentral:rRNA from 1 species